rnacentral:rRNA from 1 species
UACAGAGGGUGCGAGCGUUACUCGGAAUUACUGGGCGUAAAGCGCGCGUAGGCGGCUUUGCAAGUCGGGUGUGAAAUCCCCAGGCUUAACCUGGGAACUGCAUUCGAGACUGCAUUGCUAGAGUAUGGGAGAGGGAAGUGGAAUUUCCGGUGUAGCGGUGAAAUGCGUAGAUAUCGGAAGGAACACCAGUAGCGAAGGCGGCUCGCUGGGCCAUUCCUGACGCUGAGACGCGAAAGCUAGGGGAGCGAACAGG